rnacentral:rRNA from 1 species
UACGAAGGGGGCUAGCGUUGUUCGGAAUUACUGGGCGUAAAGCGCGCGCAGGCGGCUAUCCAAGUCAGUGGUGAAAGCCCGGAGCUCAACUCCGGAACUGCCAUUGAAACUGUUUAGCUUGAGGAUGAGAGAGGUGAGUGGAAUUCCCAGUGUAGAGGUGAAAUUCGUAGAUAUUGGGAAGAACACCGGUGGCGAAGGCGGCUCACUGGCUCAUUUCUGACGCUCAGGCGCGACAGCGUGGGGAUCAAACAGG